rnacentral:rRNA from 1 species
UCGCGCGAGAAUGUAGCAAUACAGGAAAGCGGCGGAAGGGAGAGGACAACAUGGGAAACUGCCCUGGGGACGAGGAUAGCGUCGGGAAACUGACGGUAAUACUCGAUAAUGUUUGCGGACCAAAGGUGUGAUUCCGCCCCAGGAUGUGCCCAUGCCCCAUUAGCUAGUUGGCGGUGUAAUGGACCACCAAGGCUGUGAUGGGUAGCUGGUGUGAGAGCACGACCAGCCUCACUGGCACUGAGACACUGGCCAGACACCUACGGGUGGCUGCAGUCGAGAAUCUUCGGCAAUGGACGAAAGUCUGACCGAGCGACGCCGCGUGCGGGAUGAAGGCCUUCGGGUUGUAAACCGCUGUCGAGGGGAAUCAAAUGCAAGGGGGUUCUCCCCCCUGCUUGAGAGAACCCUGGAGGAAGGGGAGGCUAAGCUCGUGCCAGCAGCCGCGGUAAGACGAGCUCCCCAAACGUUAUUCGGUAUCACUGGGCUUAAAGAGUUCGUAGGCGGCGAAGUAGGUGAGGUGUGAAAGCCCUCGGCUCAACCGAGGAACUGCGCUUCAAACCACUUUGCUAGAGGGAGAUAGGGGUAAGCGGAACAGAUGGUGGAGCGGUGAAAUGCAUUGAUAUCAUCUGGAACACCGGUGGCGAAAGCGGCUUACUGGGUCUUUUCUGACGCUGAGGAACGAAAGCUAGGGUAGCGAACGGGAUUAGAUACCCCGGUAGUCCUAGCCGUAAACGAUGAGCACUAGUCUGAGGGACUCUCACAGUUUCUCGGACGUAGCGAAAGUGUUAAGUGCUCCGCCUGGGGAGUAUGGUCGCAAGGC